rnacentral:lncRNA from 1 species
CUAGGUCCAAAUCAAUACAUGGUGUAUUAAUUGUGUGACAUAUAUACACAUAAAUAAAAUCCCUAUCAUUAAGGUCUUGACAGAAAGCUAACUUCAACAUCAUAUUUCAAAAAUCUAAAUUCUCCUUUUUGGUUAAUUUUACAUGCAUAUUUAUCUACUGUUAAGUACCUCAUAUCCUUAGCCCAAUCAUGAAAUUGAAU